AGGAAUUAUUGUACGGGAGUUCUAUGGCCAGAGUUAUACAGGAGGUCAGACUAGAUGAUUACAGUGGACCCUUGUGGCCUUGGAAUCUAUGAAAAGCAAUAAGACAAUGUAGAUAUCACUUUAUACACUCUAAAUGAUGAUAAACAGGACAUUGCUUCAGUGAGAUUAGUACUUUUGAAACAUCAGUAUAUGGCUGAGAGCCUGAGAAAUGCUUGAAGCAGCUUGGGGAAAAACAACAAUCACCACUACUGAUCUUUAAAAUCUUCACAAACAAAAAGCUUUAAUAAAAAGAGCUAAGUGUGGUUCAGGUAAACACCCAAAGCAAUACUACAUGUUCUAGAGUUGUUAAAACCACAGACUUGUGUGCCACAUCUGGAAAUAACAAGUUAUGGAACCGAGUCUGUUCUCAAUACCCUCUAACCCUUCAUCACUUACUUGCAACCCAGCAGAUUAUAACACAUAGUUAGCCUUAACAGGAUCCCUUAGAAUUAGCAAACAUUUACCCACCCUUCCUUCCUCUGGUCAUUGCAGAGGUCCCUGAGACCCCACCCAACACCUAAUUUCAGUUCUGCUGAUAUUCUACUCCUCUUACCAACCAUACCCAUCUGUUCAUAAACAAAAGCUUAAUUGUUUAGAUGUAAAAAUAAGAAAUAUUCACAGAAGCAUUCAUGAAAUUACUUGAAAAUGCUUAGAAAAAGCAUCCCCCCAACAUUUACUAAACAUGGACUUCAGGGUUUGCUUAGACAAGAGAAAUUUAAAUGUUUAUUUAAGAAAAGUACUAAGGACAACAGAGAAGUGUUAAGUAAUCAGUAUAGUUUUGCUCUGGGUCACUUAAAAAGUCUCUUUUAAGUGUAAAAUGCAACAAUUCAUCCCAAACACGGUGACCUAGGAGAGUGAGUUUGUGAAAGGAUAGAGUAGGGGCUAUAUGUAUUAAAAUUCCUUACUACUGAGUCCUGGGAGAGAUCAAAAGGAAGAACCUAACUGCAAAGCUAAUUUCUCUUUUCUAAUUACCUUUGGCCUGAAAUAAUAGUGAUUUAGGUAAUUUUACCUUGGGGUAAUGGUAAUCAAGGAGUUUUCUUGGAGCUGAAAAAAGCUGCACUGUUUGAUGCUUGCUGUGAAACUCCAUUUUGGGUCAAGUGGAGAGCACUGAUUGGCUAGAACCUACCAAGGUUUGGGGCUCAGAGAUCAUAAAGCCUAAGCACUCUCUCCAGUUUCAGAGUUUACUGCAGUUGAAUGUCUGCUUUUUUCUUAAGGAGACCCACAUUUUAGUGCUACCACUAUCAGAAUGGAAGAACAAGAUGGCCAGUUUCCUGGCUCCUCCUUGUUUCAUGGCUUGAAAAGAGAGGAAGCACAUGAAAAACUGAUUUCUACCUGAAGAACCUAGGAAGUGGGUUUUAAAAUCAGGCAUAUGCUGAGGAGCCAACUUCAGUCUUAACAAUGAAGAGCAAUUACUAUUACAUAAUAUGGCUUCUGAAAAGAUGUUAAAGAUGGGCAUAAUUACACUCCUUAUAUGAUAUCUAUAUAUUCUUGUUAUUUGGGGACACACUGCUUGUCAUGGCACAAGUCUUUCCCAGAUUGCUCAGACGAGCUAAUACAAAAUCAGUGGGAAUUUGUGAGUAAAUCAAGCAGGGUUUAGCCCCAUGCGGGUAAGAAUGGAAAUGGGAAUUGGGAGUAAUCUAAAGAUAGCGUUAGACAAUGAAGCACCUUUGCUGGAGAAUUGUGCACAGUCCUCAUAAUUCUAAAAGAGUUGACAAUAUAUAACUCUGUUCUCAGCUUGCAGAGUUUUUGCUUGUUCAGAGGGAGAUGCAUUGAUUUAAAAUAUUUCAAUAAAAGCAAUGUUUUGCUAUGGGCAGCAUCCCAAACUGCAACCUGAAGUCAUUUGUUUACUGCACAGACUGGGCAAGCAUAAUCUUUGCCAUGCUGUGCUGCAUCCAUGACUUGAAAAUACUUCCUUUAAAGGGUUGUAUGCAGUGUUGUUGUAGCCAUGUCAGUCCCAGAUAUUAUAGACACAAAGUGGGUGAGGUAACGUCUUUUACUGGGCCAACUUCUCUGUCACCAACAGAAGUUGGUCCAAUAAAAGAUAUUACCUCACACACCUUGUCUCUCCUUUAAAAGGUGUCAUGUUCAAUCUUCAUGCCCUUUCAAUCUUUGAGCUUGCUGGUGAGACUUCCAGUGAGGGAUGACCAUUGUGAAGGAUUUUUAAACAUGUGUGGACUGAAAUUACUAACCCAUCUCACGUAGACCUCCAAGCAGCCAGGAAAUAGUAUUAAUAUAUGCCGAUGUAUUUGCAGAAUUGAAUGUUAUGACAUAGAUUGUAUAUUGCACAUUUCAGAAACGUUAGUCUCAAAUAUGUGUGGCUAAUUCAGAAACAAGAAUGUCUCCACCUUGCACUGAAAAUACAGGUUCCUGAAGAGGCUACUUCAAUAUCAGAAAGAAAUGGGAACAAACAUAGUCAAUCUUUCCCACAACUUGUUGGGGUCAAGUGACUAACUCUGAGAACUCAUUAUUACCUCUAAUGAAAGAACUUCUCUUGCAUCUAAUGAACAGUUAACUCACCACAGAUUCCUCAUUUAAACGCAAAGAAGAGACUCAUACACAUGAUCUUAUGGACCUGGGGUAUUUACAACUAGAAUGGGUCAUUCAGUAAUGCAGAAGUUACUACUUUUCUUUUGAUGAUUAACGUGAACUUUGUGUAACGUCUAUCCUGCAUUUUGAAUAUAUCUGCGGUCUGGGUGGUUUUUUACUUUUCUUUAAUUGUCUUCCCCCUGACGGAAAGUAUUUAGUUACUGAUCAGAGCUUUAUUCUUCAUAAAUUAAAUUAUAUUCUGCAAAGGUGGUGAGCUGGGCUUCGUUGGUUCAGUAUCUAUGCAGAAAAAUACUAAUUCCUUUGGUUUGGUUUCUUAAACAAAUAAUUGAGCCCAAGAAAUCCUGUCCACCCCAUCCCCAAAAUAUUUGGUGACUGGAAGCAUAUUUCCAUACUCCUACUUCCCUUAUGCUAUUCAUACUCUAAUAAUAUUAAUGACAUUUUGAGGAGUCCACUGAAUAUGCUCAGUGAGUCCCAGGUUCUUCCUGACAACAGGAGAAGCAGCUCCAAGAACAGUGGCUAUUAGUCAUUUAUGAAUCUGAGUGCCAUAAAAUGUUAGAAUGCAUUAUGGGCCUGUUAUAAGGAGAUCUCCCUGAGGGCUCAGCUGACCAGGAUGCUCUGUCACCCUAAUUACAGUGAGGAGAAAUAGAGAUUUUUUUCAGCAGAACAGUGCAACUGGAAAACUAAAUCUUUGCCCUUAUUUUAUUCUUGACCUUUGAGGAAAAACGCCCAUAGAUGUCAGUGUGAAUUGCUUACCAUGAAGCAAUCUGAUUAUCCAAAUGUAGGAUUAAUGUGUUUGUAAAAACUCACUCUCUUUUUUCAUUUUCUUUUCACCUUCACUUCCAAUUAAUGAGUUGUAAUCUUUUGGCAUCAGUAUAAAAUGGAACAGAAGACCUGUCUUCGUCUCAUUAUUUUGCUGCCAUGAAGAAGGUACCAUACAAUGGAAAAUGAUUUUCCAUCUCUCAGUUGGAUUGGUCAUUGUUUACUGGAGGCUGUUCUGUAACACAGUGACCAUCUGUUGGUAAGCAGUGAAAACACUUAAUCAUGCAGGCUGUUACUGUUAAAAUGCCAUAAUCACAUCAAUGAUUGCUGCAAGGUAUUAAUAUACUUUUCUCACUAACAAUAAUUACAUAUUUAGAUGGCCAAUUCAGCACUCAGUGGCACUGGUAUAAUUCCAGAGUAACUGCACUGAAAUCAAAGGACAAUCUGGAUUUAUAAUGGUAUAACUGUGGUCAGAUGUUCAUCCAGACAUUUUAGAACACAAAAAAAGACUUUGUUUUGAAUAAAUUAUUUUCCUCAUAA